UACGGGGGGGGCAAGCGUUGUUCGGAAUUACUGGGCGUAAAGGGUUCGUAGGUGGCCAACUAAGUCAGACGUGAAAUCCCUCAGCUCAACUGGGGAACUGCGUCUGAUACUGGUUGGCUUGAGUGCAGGAGAGGAACGCGGAAUUCCAGGUGUAGCGGUGAAAUGCGUAGAUAUCUGGAGGAACACCUGCGGCGAAGGCGGGUUGCUGGGCUGACACUGACGCUGAGGCGCGAAAGCUAGGGGAGCGAACGGG
rnacentral:rRNA from 1 species